CCUACGGGAGGCAGCAGUGAGGAAUAUUGGUCAAUGGACGGAAGUCUGAACCAGCCAUGCCGCGUGCAGGAAGACGGCUCUAUGAGUUGUAAACCGCUUUUGUACAAGGGUAAACCUGAAUACGUGUAUUCAGCUGAAAGUACUGUACGAAUAAGGAUCGGCUAACUCCGUGCCAGCAGCCGCGGUAAUACGGAGGAUCCAAGCGUUAUCCGGAUUUAUUGGGUUUAAAGGGUGCGUAGGCGGAUUGAUAAGUUAGAGGUGAAAUGUCCGAGCUUAACUCGGGAACUGCCUCUAAUACUGUUGGUCUAGAGAGUAGAUGCGGUAGGCGGAAUGUAUGGUGUAGCGGUGAAAUGCUUAGAGAUCAUACAGAACACCGAUUGCGAAGGCAGCUUACCAAUCUAUAUCUGACGUUGAGGCACGAAAGCGUGGGGAGCAAACAGGAUUAGAUACCCGAGUAGUC
rnacentral:rRNA from 1 species